rnacentral:rRNA from 1 species
GAGUUUGAUCGUGGCUCAGAAUCAACGUUGGCGGCGCGCUUAACACAUGCAAGUCGAACGAGAAAGUGGAGCAAUCCAUGAGUAAAGUGGCGUACGGGUGAGUAACACGUGGGUAUCCGCUCUUUGGUGGGGAAUAACUUGGGGAAACCCGAGCUAAUACCGCAUAAGUCCGAGAGGAGAAAGGUGAAAAUCGCCGAAGAAGGAGCCCGCGGCUGAUUAGCUAGUUGGUGAGGUAACGGCUCACCAAGGCGAAGAUCGGUAGCCGGCCUGAGAGGGCACACGGCCACACUGGCACUGAGACACGGGCCAGACUCCUACGGGAGGCAGCAGUGGGGAAUCUUGCACAAUGGGGGAAACCCUGAUGCAGCGACGCCGCGUGAACGAUGAAGCCCUUCGGGGUGUAAAGUUCUUUCGGCAGGAACGAUUAUGACGGUACCUGAAGAAGAAGCUGCGGCUAACUACGUGCCAGCAGCCGCGGUAAG